ACAUCUUUAUUUUUUCUUGAAAAGUGUGUGAAUACUUUGUCUGAGGAAAAUAUUUUCUGAAUUUAAGUAAGAAAAAGUUAUUUAAUAUUCAACUUUUGUGACUAUGGACGCUGAAGUCGAAGGCAGCGUUGGAAAUAAUAUACAAUCUGGUGACGAAGCGGCUUCACCAUCUAUAGAUGGUGAAACUACAUAUAAAGGUGGUGCGGCUGGGCCUUCUCAGGAAAACAAUGCAACCCCUAAUAUAAAUGGAAAUGCGGGACAAGCAACGCCAGAUACAAGCGAAGGCGAAUCUCAAUGGACUCCAAACAAUCAAAGUGCUGCCACUGCUAAACCUUUUAGUAUGCCGCCAUUCGGUGGACCACCCGGAGCUUUCCGUGGUGGACGAGGAGGUAUUCAUAUAAUGCCUUUUGGUCGCGGUGGUGCUCGAGGGGGUGGCGGCAAUUUUGGCGGACGCGGACCGGGAAACUUUGAACCGAAUUGGCAGGGACAAAACCAAAAUGGCCCACCAAAUAUGACAAACGGGCCACCACUCGAACUAUGGGUGGAGACUAAGACAGAUGAUGGCAAAUCUUAUUUUUAUCAUGCCAUGACACGUGAAACAACAUGGACUAGACCAGAAGGUCAAAAUAUUAAAGUUAUGACUCAAGCAGAAAUUGAGGAAGUGAAUAAAAAACAGCAACCACCUCAACAGCAAUCUCAACAGAAUAACACACAGCAUGUGGAUGCAAAUGUCAAAGGGCCAGAGCCUAGUGGUCACGCUCAAGGUGGCAUGAUAGAUACGCAAAAGGAGUUACCCCCCAUGUCGGUUGCUCCACCCAUGAAAGCACCAGAUACAUUGACUCAACAUCCACCACCAAAUAUGAUGUCACAACCACCACCAACACAACAGACCUUGACGCAGCCACCACCAAAUGUAGUACCAAGCGGUGCGCCACCAAUGACACAACAGCCUCCACCUGCAAUGCACCAACAGCCACCUCCAUUCUUUCCACCUGGUAUGCAUCCUCCGAAUUUCUCGCAAACUCCAUUUGGAAUGCCUCCUCCUGGUUAUGGUGGUUUUCCAGGUGGACCAGCACCAUGGGGUAUGCCCUGGAAUCAGCACAUGCAUCCUCCACACGGUCCGCCGGCGCAAGACAAACCGGCAAAAAAUUUAAUUAUAAAACCUGGUGUAAUUGAUCCUGCUGUAAUUGCACGCGCUGCUGAAUGGUCCGAACAUCGUGCACCUGACGGACGUCCCUAUUACUAUCAUGCCGGUCGCGGCGAGAGCGUUUGGGAAAAACCACAAGCGUUACGUGACAUGGAAGCAGCACGCAUGGCUGCUCACUCGGGCACAACACCGCAACAGGCAGUGGCGCCUCAAGUCGCACCCACCAUGCCACCACAUAUGAUGCCCAAUCCUGCCCUUAUGCACAUGACGCCGGCAGCCGGCGGUUAUGAGCAGGCUAUGGCGUACAAUGCUGCUGCUGCCGCAGCCGCAGCCGCCGCCGCUGCAGCAGCUGCUGCCAAUCUUAAACCCCUCGAACAAACCAAAGCGGCGCAAGCUGCGGCAUUGGAAAAAGAAUCCAGGAAGGUGGCAGAGGAAAAACGAAAGAAAGAGGAGGAGCAACAAAAGAAAGUUACGGCAACAGCAGCAAAACCAGUAGAUAAAUCACGUCCUAUUUCAAGUACUCCCAUCGCUGGUACACCAUGGUGUGUCGUUUGGACAGGUGAUGCGAGGGUUUUUUUCUAUAAUCCUUCCACACGCACAUCUGUUUGGGAAAGACCCGACGAUUUGAUAGACCGUGCCGACGUAGACAAAGCAGUCAACAAUCCGCCGGAACAGUUAAAGGCUGCUGGUAGUGACGCUGCGGAGAAACAGGUCGAAAAGAUUGAGACAGAGAAGAAAAAAGAGGUUGAAAUUCCCGAGGAAGAGGAAGAAGAAGAGCAAGAAGAUGAUGAAGUCAUCAAAAUACGCACUGAAUCUGAAUCCAGUGUGGAAGAAGUACCAACGAAGAAGUCCCGAUUAUCCGCAAAGCAAACCAGGAAGGCGGAUGCCAACGAAGCAGCCGUAGAAGCUGAGGUACGCGCGGCUAAGGAGCGCGCUGUAGUGCCAUUGGAGACACGUGUCAAACAGUUCAAAGAAAUGUUGCGUGAAAAAGAUGUAUCAGCAUUUAGCACUUGGGAGAAGGAGCUACACAAAAUUGUUUUCGAUCCACGGUACUUGCUGCUAACCUCCAAGGAGCGCAAACAGGUGUUUGAAAAGUACGUUAAAGAUCGCGCCGAAGAGGAACGCAAGGAGAAGCGCAAUAAGAUGCGUCAAAAGCGCGAAGACUUUCGCAAGCUUAUGGAAGAUGCAAAGCUGCAUGGAAAGUCAUCAUUCAGUGAGUUUUGUCAGCGUUAUGGUAAAGAUGACCGCUAUAAAGCUAUCGAAAAGGUGCGCGAACGUGAGAGCCUCUUCAACGAGUAUAUUGUAGAUGUGCGUCGUCAAGAAAAAGAGGAGAAAAUACAAAAAAAGGAACAGUCAAUUGCAACCAAUCAUGUGAUUAUAGGUCCGCUGCUUGAAGUGUGUUUAAAACCAAUACUAUUUUGCUUAGCCGCGUAAAAGUUGGUUGACUUAGAAAAAAAGCAAAAUUGCUAAAUAUCGUUUUUAGGCUGCAGUAUAAACGUAAGGAAAACGCAGCAAAUAAUAUGUAGCAGCGUAACGUGUGACUGACUGAUAAUUCAUGGUCAUCCAGCUGCCAACGACCGCAUCAAAUUGCAUUGAUCCGCCAGGCAACCAUGUCCAUCCAGCUACUACCACCCAUCAACCCAGUGACUUGCCUGUUCGUUAGUACCUUCACGCCUGCUCGGCACGUUUUCCCCAAAUUGUUUGUGUCUAUCUAGCUCGAGCUCGUGGAACGUCGGCACGUCGGCACGUCACAUGAUACAUAUUGAAGCUAUUUGGAUGCGCACAGACAAAUGGUGUAUAUUGAUGGAUGGAAAAUAACGCAAUGGACACAUAGAAGACGUAACGGCAUUAGGCAGACGACAAGACAUGCCAAACUCCCAACAGCUGGCAGUUUAGUUAAUGUUGGCGCUCGAGUCUCCAGUCUCUGGUCUCUGAGUGUGGCAGAGCUUGAACUAGAGCGGGAGUGGGAGUUGAGCGAGAAGAGACAGAAACAGUAUGAAUAAAAACUCAAUCUAAACUUCAUACAUUUAGAAUUUUUGUUACAGCCGCAAAUGCAAUAAGCAUUUCAAAAUUCGAUAUUUCACAUUCGUGCCGCCAGAAGUGCAUAUUUUGAAUAUAUAUAUUUUAAUGGAUUUUUUUGCUAGUAAAUCAUAAUCUAUGGCACGUGACACUUAUUACCAUUUCAAAAAUGUCAAACGAAUGUGAAAUAUUGAUUUUUACUGACGGGCUUUACUUGUAAGUUCAUAAAGUAAAGCAUUCAAUACAUUACCUAUAUGUAUUCUUAUUAUAUAACACACGUACAUGUCAUUGUUGUCCAUCCGUCCGUCCGUCGACAAAGUGCCCUUACACGUUGCCUCUCUAAUUUAUGCCAAUAAUAUUUUUAAUUUUCAGCUCUACACUGUUGGAUUCUCACAAUUAAGUCAUCAAUAAUUUUCUGUUUCAGCAUUCGACGCCAUUUAAUUAUAACACUAAUCUUGAACAUUCUCUUGCAGCAUAAUUAAGUAUAAUUAUUAUUUAAGUUAUUAUUGUCGACUAUUAAGUUAGUUAGUAAGCGCCAUCUAUAAGCCCCUGUUAUGUGCCUAUAAAAAUAUCGUGUAAGCUAAAACGAAAGCCAAUGUCUGAAAUCGUCUAAUUCUCCACAUUUGUUUUCUCUCUUUGUAUCUUCCUGACUGCACUUGCUACAUUCACCCAAAUGCACAUCCCAAAACACACACUACGUACCUCUAACAAAUUUUAGAUACGCAAAGAUUUCAUAGAAA
rnacentral:misc_RNA from 1 species